rnacentral:rRNA from 1 species
UACGUAGGGGGGCAAGCGUUGUCCGGAAUCAUUGGGCGUAAAGCGCGCGUAGGCGGCCCGGUAAGUCCGCUGUAAAAGUCCAGGGCUCAACCCUGGAAAGCCGGUGGAUACUGUCGGGCUAGAGUCCGGAAGAGGCGAGUGGAAUUCCUGGUGUAGCGGUGGAAUGCGCAGAUAUCAGGAGGAACACCAAUGGCGAAGGCAGCACUCUGGGACGUGACUGACGCUGAGACGCGAAAGCGUGGGAGCAAA